rnacentral:rRNA from 1 species
AACAGGAUUAGAUACCCUGGUAGUCCACGCCGUAAACGAUGUCGACUUGGAGGUUGUGCCCUUGAGGCGUGGCUUCCGGAGCUAACGCGUUAAGUCGACCGCCUGGGGAGUACGGCCGCAAGGUUAAAACUCAAAUGAAUUGACGGGGGCCCGCACAAGCGGUGGAGCAUGUGGUUUAAUUCGAUGCAACGCGAAGAACCUUACCUACUCUUGACAUCCAGAGAACUUGGCAGAGAUGCUUUGGUGCCUUCGGGAACUCUGAGACAGGUGCUGCAUGGCUGUCGUCAGCUCGUGUUGUGAAAUGUUGGGCUAAGUCCCGCAACGAGCGCAACCCCUAUCCUUUGUUGCCAGCGAUUCGGUCGGGAACUCAAAGGAGACUGCCGGUGAUAAACCGGAGGAAGGUGGGGAUGACGUCAAGUCAUCAUGGCCCUUACGAGUAGGGCUACACACGUGCUACAAUGGCGCAUACAAAGAGAAGCGACCUCGCGAGAGCAAGCGGACCUCAUAAAGUGCGUCGUAGUCCGGAUCGGAGUCUGCAACUCGACUCCGUGAAGUCGGAAUCGCUAGUAAUCGUAGAUCAGAAUGCUACGGUGAAUACGUUCCCGGGCCUUGUACACACCGCCCGUCACACCAUGGGAGUGGGUUGCAAAAGAAGUAGAUAGCUUAACCUUCGGGAGGGCGUUUACCACUUUGUGAUUCAUGACUGGGGUGAAGUCGUAACAAGGUAACC